AGAGGCCGAAGGCGAUGCAGAAGGCGACGAGGGCGCCGUAGGAGCGCGCGCGUGCGCUGCUCAGGUCCGUGAGCCCAUUGGCCAGCAGGGCCAGGCUGAAGAGAUACGGGACGUGCGGUCGCAGACGCGCCAGGCCCGCCAGGGCGCCGCACGCCGGCCGCGCCACGAUGUCCACGAAGCCCACGAUGGACAGCAGAAAGGCGGCGUCGGUGUCUGGCACGCCCGCGUCCUUGGCGUAGUUCACCAGCAGGAUGGCGGGGACGAAGAGCCCGAGCGCCAUCAGGAACUUGGUGGCGGCGUACACGGCGAAGGCGCGGUCGGUGCACACUGCCAAGUCCAGCAGGCGCCGGCGGGGCCGGGUCCUGGGGGUUGCCUCGCUCAACUGCGGCCCCGCGCCGUCCGCCUCCGCCUCGCCCGGAGCGUCCCCCGCGCGGUCGCCGGCGCUGUCCCUCCGCGGUCGCGGGCCCGGCCCGGGCGGCGGCCUCAUGACAGCCCCGCAGGCGCAGCAGUGCAGCAGGAGCCCGCCGAGCAGCAGGAAGCCGCCGCGCCAGCCGAAGCGCUCCAGCAGCUGCUGGCCGAGCGGCGACAGCGCGGACAGGAACACGGGGCUGCCCGCCGCCGCCAGCCCGUUGGCCAGAGGCCGCCGCCGCUCGAAGUACAGCCCCAGCAUGAUGAGCGACGGCUGGAAGUUGAGGGCCAGGCCCAGGCCUGCGGGCGAGGCGGCGCUGUGCCGGGGUCCCCAGGGAGCCCCUCCCUGGCCCCCGCAGGAGGGAGGGGCCAGGCCCGGGAACCCAGCAGAUCCAAGAACCCAGCCGAAGGACUUCGAAGACUGUCCCACAUAGGGAAACCGAGGGCAGAUCUUGCAGCAAGAACCCCCGACCCCCAAACCAGAGGGGAGGAGACCAGGGGGCCCUCACCUGUGAGCACCCCAGCGGUCAGGUAGAGCUCCAGGAGGCGCGUGGCAAAGGAAGCCAGGAUCAUGCCCGCGGAAGCCAGCAGCCCACCCGCCAGCAUCACCGGGCGACAGCCAAAGCGGGUCACGAGGAUGCUGGACACGGGACCUGUGGGCAGGGCAGGGUCACCACCCGGGUCCCGGGAUGGCUUGAGUCCUCUAAGGAAUAAGGUCACCUCCGGCUCAGGGACCCAGAGAGGAGGGCAUUGUCUGGCCAAGGUCACACAGCUUGGAGGGGCAGGCCAAAGAGACAGCAGCCUGCGAGGGCAAGGCCCAGAGCACCCUAUCCCCACCCCUCCUGAGAACCCAAACCCCAAGCAGAGCGGGGACUUCCACACCCCUUUAACCUUCACAGCCUCCAAGUUCUGCCCUGGCACAGCCUGGGAUUCCUCCGCAGCCCCGCCUCCCAGGAUGGGAACUCCAGCAAGCCCCCCACCUAACAGGGCGCUGAAGGAUGAGGGUAGGAUGAGGGGUCCCACCUGACUCUGCACCUCAGCAGGCUCCCUCUGGAGAACACUGCUGGCCCCUCAGGACCUCAGGUGGAAGGCAUCGGGAAGUGGAGCAGGUGUGUGCCUGGAGGUGGGCGACCAGUACCAAAGUAUGCGUGAGGGUCUCGGGACAACGGAACAAACAGCAGAGGGGCAGAUGCCAGCUGCAAAGGGCCAGUGUGCGUGAAGAUUUUCCUUUUUAGCCUUGCGCCAUGUUCUUAAUAUUUCUUAGUGAUCACAAAUGACUAUUGUCAUUAGAACAUGAAGGGGACAAAAGCCACUUUCAACAGGUAUCAGCCAGGGGAGCUGAGUUCCCAUGCUUCCCAGCUCAGCCAUGGAUUCCCUCCCUGACUUGGGCCAGUCGCCUCCCCUCUCCGAACCUCAGUUUCCUCCGAUGUGAGAUGGGUGAUUGAUCACCCCCAGGCCAGCUGGGAAUCUUGCGGGAGAGGAGUCAGGUCUCUGGCUUCUGCCAGACAGGUAGGAACCUUAGCAGCACUGGGAGAGUGGCCUUUUGCCCUCCAAACCUCAAACCCUCUGUAUGCAAAGAAUGGCUCCAAAGCCUGUCUCAUUCGUGGGGCUCCCCCCAGGGCCCUCACAGCCGCUACAAGCGCUCCCCUAACAGAUGAGGAGGGUGCACUCAGAGACAGGUGCGCCCGGAGCCCGGAGCCCGGGGCUGGGGAUAGCCUCCUCCCCUCCUGCCUGGAGUGUCCCUCCUGGCACUGGGCAGUGCCACCACCCCCAGGGUAUCUGGAACUCUGCCCCUCCUCCACUAGGACCAGGUCGUGGCUUUUCCUGCCUGUUGUUCUCUUGUCACAGGGGCAGCCACUUGAAGGUGGAGACAGGAGAGUGAUCCCAGGCAGCCCUCACAUCACACUCACCUGAGCCUGCCUCGUGGGUUUGUGGGGUCCAGCCUCACGUCUCCUGAGGCCUGCAGGGAGGGGCUGCUGUCCCUGCAGCUGUCCGCGGCAGCUCCCGGUGAAGCUUACCCGGAUGGGGUCUGCCAGACACUCCAGCUUCCCACCAGCCUGGGCUGAGCUUCUGGCGGACUCCCGCCUGACGCUCCCUCCCCCAGGCCUGGAGCUUAGAGUGUGUGCCCCCACCACACCACACCCCUGCUAAGAGGCUUUUGUCCAGGAGGGGAGAAGAGACUGGGAGCCCCAGACCAGGCUGGGGCUCCACGGUGGGCUCCCUGUCCCGACAGUCCAGGAGGGAGGAAGAGAAAUCCCUCUGCCUCCUGGAGCCUGGGGUUGCAGACACAGAGACCCUGCCCAGGGGGUCCUAGUCAGGUGCUCGGAGCACAGCCCUGCCCUGAAGAGACCCCAACGGUUCUAAUCACCUCAGUGCCUCAUCUGCCCCCGCCCGACCCCCCGCCCCAGGCCACAUUCCAGGAGGGGCUGGCGGCUUUCUCCAGGAUGAAGCUAAUCCAUGCCUGUGCCUGGGGAUGUGGGGGUGGGGAGGGGCCAGAACAAAGAGUGCUGUGUCCAGGCCGCCUGAGGGCAGCUUGCUGGUGGUCCCAGCCCUUGGCCACUGCCAACCCUCCCCUGACCUGAGCAGCCACUACUUCCUAUGAAACCCACACAUCAAAAUGAGAGUGGGUGGAGAUGGGGGCUGCAGUGCCAGGGCUUUGGGGUAGCCCUGAAGGAUUCUCCAAACGAGGGGCUGGGAGUGAGAUAGCCUCCCGGGGAAUGGCCAGGACCUCAGUACCCUCUGGACCCCAUUCUCCAAUGGGGGAGUCUCCAUCCCUCACCCCCUGCCCUGUCCCCCAAAUAAGACACCACCAAUCCUGCUGCCACGUCA